UAUCAUUUUAUUGUACUAUAUUCUUGAAAUUAUAAGAUUAGGAAUACCACGGAAAUAUCAAAUUAUUUCACCACUUAAUGAUCAAUGUAGUUUGUAUAUAAUAAUGUAAAAAAAUGAUUAAAAUUACCUGAGUCGUAAUUGUCAUUUGCACUUCAUAUCACUCACUCUUUUUUCUUCAUUAUCCACGAAGCUGAUAAGAGAUUGAUUUAUCCGCGACAGGAAGCAAAUUUAGCGUUUUCGGUCCGUGUUGUUCUGGAUCAGAUCACUAUAAAUAAAAAAAAACAUCAUUAAAGGAUUGCAUCACCACAGAUCAAAUCAUUGCAUAAUUUCUAAAUACAUGAGAUGUGUUUAUUUAAAUAUACCCGGUUUUCAAUAAAUUGCAAAAAUAUUUGUUCGCAGAUCGCAUUACUCGGAAUUGCAAGAUAAAAAAACGGAACAAAGUUUUAAAUAGAUUCUGGAACAUUCUGAAAUUGUAUAUAUAUAUAUAUAUAUAUAUAUAUAUGUAUAUAUAAAAGGAGCAUUCCUAUCUUGCUUAAUCUCACGCUACGGAAUUUGUGCUAGCGGAAUCUCAAGGUAAAUUUACAUCGAAUCGAGCACAAAGUAUAGUCAAUAGCUGUAAAGAACAGAAUGUUGCGAUUGUACAAACGAGAAAAUCAAAAGUUGAGAAUGUAAAGACUUAUGAAGAGGAUGAUCUGAAUAAGGGAAAAAAAGGAACAGACUACUAAAAAGAAAUACAUAGAAAAUGAAGAGCUCGAUAAAGCCAAUCGGAACCAAGAUCCUGAUGACAUUAGAAUCCCAGCAAACACAAAGUAACAAUUAUAUAACAUCAAUGUUAUAAUUUCCCACUCAAUAAUAUAACUGCAAUAUAACAUGGCUUGUACGUAAGAGUUAUAUUAUUGUGUAAGAAAUUAUAACAUUGAUGUUAUGUAAUUGUUACUUUGUGUUUGCUGGAUGAAUAUGAUAAAUGUUAUAAGUCGUUGAUUAAUGAUUAGAAUAAAUUUAGCUGUACAAGAAUUCUCUACGAAAGAUUAAUUGGAAUUCACAAUUCUUUCCCACUUGACGUAUUGGAUAACAAGAAAACGAAUGUCAAAUUGUACGUUAGACGUGUAUUUAUUAUGGACAAUUGCAAAAAAAUUAAUACCAGAGUACUUGAACUUUAAUAAGGCGAAGACUUGUGCGCGACAAUAUUCUCUUAAAAUGUUGUAAUAUAACAAAAUUUUGAAGAUCAUUUGUAAGAAUCUCAUAAAGAAAUGCUUGAAACUCUAUGAUAAAUUUAUGAGAGAACAUUUAUAGGAUCUAUGACCAAUUUAGUAAUAAUAAUAUUAUUAAAUCAGCGUGAUACAGGAUAAAAUAAAAUAUAUAUUUACUAAAAAUAUAUUUACUUUGAUGAGAAUAAGGAGCAUAGUUUAUUCAUCAAAUAUGUAAAGUGAUUAAAACUGAUGCUAUUGACGAAUGCAUAAUGCAACAAAUAAAGCAAUUUGAUGAAAAGCAGUUGUCCAUUAUACCAUUCAUAAUGAAAAAGCACUUCAAAAUCGAAUAAUUAAGAAUUUAAGCUUUGAAAAGCAAUAAUAAAUAAAUAUGUCCAUGAUCUUGUGAUCUUUUUUAUUAUUCAAAAUUAUGCUUCUCUCUAAUUUUAUCUUGAAGAAAUUCAAGCUAUAUACUAUUUGCAUCUAUAGAAUAAUAAUAUUUGAGAUUUGAUAAAACCAGCCUCUUGUCAGAGAAACAAGAUAUGAUAUACAUAUAUAACAUAUGUCAAUAAAUGUCUGUGAGGAAAUGUAAAUAGUAUAUAAAUGAUAAAAAGAUGGAAGACAUUAAUAAUACACAAAUUUAUCACA